AUAUAUAUCCCUCCAUACGCCACCCUUUUUUAAGACUUUCUCCCUAAACCUAUUAGUCUUUGCAUCAGCCUUCACAACUGCUGAAUAAACCACCACCUUGUAAUUUGCAUAGUCAUGAUAUACAAGAGAGGCCUCAAUGAAAUACGAUACAGAAUGGGUAAAAUAAUCAGGAGAUACAUAUCCAAUCACAAUUGGCCUUUCUGGAUCCUUUGGAUUGUCCCAUGAAGUGUAUUGCGGAUACAACCUCAUAAAGCGCCUACCCCAG
rnacentral:misc_RNA from 1 species